CAUAAUUAUAUCACGUCAGCAGAAACAGACACACGCGACUAAAGUCCUUUUGUGUCAUCCCGGCUGUACUGUCUGUCACGCAGUUCAACCCUUCUUAUUACCACUGACCUCAUCCAGACAUGGACAGAAAGUUCCUUCUUUUACGCAUGUAGCUUACACACACAAGCUGACUAAGUGGCGUCAGCACUUAAUAAUCUAAGUUACACAUAGGAGCACAGAAAAGCCAUGUUCCCGCACACAUACGCGCAUGAUUCGUACAAAGGCAUUCAUUAAUACAAAGCAAUUGAUUAAUACAUUCUUUGAUCAUGAACAGUGAACAGUGCACUGAGACAGGCCCAUAGAGGUAAACAGAUUAAUAUUGAUGUCACCUGGUGCAUAUAAUAUUUGAUAUACCCUGUAUUAAUGAGAUAUAUUCCAUUUUACUGUGACUGACAAUUGUUUUAUGUUAUCCUCCUGUAUUAAAUUGUGUCGCAUUUUAGAGUUUAGACCUCUUAAUAAUGGUACAAAAACAACAGAUUGGGGGAUUGUUCGAAAAAGCACAACAUUUAUCAUUUAUCAUCAGAAUAAGGCUCCGUUUGUAUAGUCUUUUUUGCUUAGGAAGGUUUCUAACAGAGUGAAACGACCCGGAAGUAUUUAAAUGACAGCCAUGAUGAGAGCUGGUUGAAUUCUCUAAAUGCUUAGGAAAAGUGCUUCAUUGCUUCCUUUUGUAUCUCCUUUAGUAUAAGGGGACAUUGGACCAUCUGAAAGGGUAGGAAAUCAUAUCGUCCCACAAUUCCUUGCGGCAGCAACAACAACCCAAACAACCGAUCAACUUGACCCACGUCAAUAAUCCAUAUAUACCGGUCAUUCUUCAUGGCCAUGCACAGCUCAGCAGUGCCGUUCGCAGGCUUCUCACUGGUGAGUACCAUGGUGGGUAUGGUAUUUAUGCUGACAUAGAGAACCCAGAUAGUGAUGACAACCACCCUGCCAAACAGGGCACUGUGGCCGAGCCGUUUCCCAGCGGGCUGAACAAUCUUGAAGAAGCGGUCGAGGCUGAUGAGUCCCAUUAGUAUCAUACUCAUGUACAUAGAGA
rnacentral:lncRNA from 1 species